GGUUGAUGGUGAAGGAAGUGGAGGUUUGAUGCAAGUAGGUCAAGGAAAAAGUGGUUGACAGUGAAGGAAGUGGAGGUUUGAUGCAAGUAGGUCAAGGAAAAAGUGGUUGACGGUGAAGUAAAUGAAGUUUUGAUGCAAGUAGGUCAAGGAAAAAGUGGUUGACGGUGAAGUAAGUGGAGUUUUGAUGCAAGUAGGUCAAGGAAAAAGUGAUUGAUGGUGAAGUAAGUGGAGUUUUGAUGCAAGUAGGUCAAGGAAAAAGUGAUUGAUGGUGAAGUAAGUGGAGUUUUGAUGCAAGUAGGUCAAGGAAAAAGUGGUUGAUGGUGAAGGAAGUGGAGGUUUGAUGCAAGUAGGUCAAGGAAAAAGUGAGUGACAGUGAAGGAAGUGGAGCUUUGAUGCAAGUAGGUCAAGGAAAAAGUGGUUGACAGUGAAGGAAGUGGAGUUUUGAUGCAAGUAGGUCAAGGAAAAAGUGGUUGACAGUGAAGGAAGUGGAGUUUUGAUGCAAGUAGGUCAAGGAAAAAGUGGCUGACAGUGAAGGAAGUGGAGUUUUGAUGCAAGUAGGUCAAGGAAAAAGUGGUUGACAGUGAAGUAAGUGGAGUUUUGAUGCAAGUAGGUCAAGGAAAAAGUGGUUGACAGUGAAGUAAAUGGAUAAUCAACAAGAGCAAAAGCAAAUAAAGCUGUCAUUGGAUUCUGAGUUUCCAAAUAAUGAGAUCUCUUAGUAAAGGAGAGCUUGGGGUACACACAGCCAACACACACACACACACACACAUUAACACACAGAAACAAUGUAUUCCCUUCCCGUGACAACCAGAGGAACAUGUUAAUGGCAAAGUAGGAAGAAUGCCACCACUUCCAGCCUUUGUAUACAGUGAUGAAGGUGUGACAGUGAGGACAGAGCAUUAGUAAGGCCAGUACUAAGCCAGGCUGCUGUAGUUUCUUUACCCCAAAAUAAAGGAAAUAAAAAAAAGUUAAAAGAUAUGGAUGAUGCUACAACAUGGGGUCAUUAUCAUUUAUUAGUAUCAUUAUUAUCAUCAUUGUUAAUAUAUGUUUAACCCGGUAGCAGCGACGGGCCAAAUUUGUGGCUUUACCGUGUAGCAGCGACGGGACGAAUUUGUGGCUUUACCGUGUACCAGCGACGGGCCA